CCUGAAGCCUAGAGAAACUUGCAAAAAUGCCUUUGGGCCGAACAAGGUCCUUUUCGGGAGGCGGGUCGGACUCUGGAGGCGGCUGGGGGGAUAACGCAGCGGGGAGACAGCAGAGGCGUACAUUGGGAUUGGAGCGAAGAACGAACGAGAGGUGGGGAUUAAUGGGGAGAGGAAGAGAAGGGAAAGCCUGAAAAUUUUUGGCAUCGAACUUUGGAAAUGCUUGUGGCGGUGGGGGCGCUGAGCUUGAUGUGGCUGCCGGAGAGAGAAUUGACAUUUUUGAAGAAAUGAG
rnacentral:misc_RNA from 1 species